AAAUGUUGGUUUAAACCCCUCCUUUACCA
rnacentral:tRNA from 1 species